AAAAAGAUAAACCCUAGUUUCCGUGUCCAACGUUUGACCGUCCGUCUUAUUUGAAAAAAUUAUAAAAAAAAUUAAAAAGACAAGUCACGCAUAAAAUAUUAAUCAUGUUUUAUCAUCUAACAACAAUAAAAAUACAAAUUAUAAAAAAAUUAUAUAAGACGGACAGUCAAAGUUGGACACGAAAAUUCAGAAUUUGUCUUUUG
rnacentral:pre_miRNA from 1 species